rnacentral:rRNA from 1 species
UACGGGGGGGGCAAGCGUUGUUCGGAAUUACUGGGCGUAAAGGGCUCGUAGGCGGCCAACUAAGUCAGACGUGAAAUCCCCAGGCUUAACCUGGGAACUGCGUCUGAUACUGGAUGGCUUGAAUUCGGGAGAGGGAUGCAGAAUUCCAGGUGUAGCGGUGAAAUGCGUAGAUAUCUGGAGGAAUACCGGUGGCGAAGGCAGCACUCUGGGACGUGACUGACGCUGAGACGCGAAAGCGUGGGGAGCAAACAGG